UACGUAGGGGGCAAGCGUUGUCCGGAUUCACUGGGCGUAAAGCGCGCGCAGACGGCUUUCUACGUCCGGGGUGAAAACCCGGGGCUCAACCCCGGGACUGCCUUGGAUACGGGAGAGCUUGAGGGUCGGAGAGGCAAGGGGAAUUCCACGUGUAGCGGUGAAAUGCGUAGAGAUGUGGAGGAACACCUGUGGCGAAGGCGCCUUGCUGGCCGAUUCCUGACGUUGAGGCGCGAAAGCGUGGGGAGCAAAUAGG
rnacentral:rRNA from 1 species